rnacentral:misc_RNA from 1 species
AACGCACCUUGCGCUCCUUGGUAUUCCUUGGAGCAUGCCUGUUUGAGUAUCAUGAAAUCUUCAAAGUAAAUCUUUUUGUUAACUCAAUUUGGUUUCACUUUGGUAUUGGAGGUUCUUGCAGCUUCACACGCUGCUCCUCUUUGUUCAUUAGCUGGAUCUCAGUGUUAUGCUUGGUUCCACUCGGCGUGAUAAAUUAUCUAUCGCUGAGGACACCCGGUAAAAAAGGUGGCCAAGGUAAAUGCAGAUGAACCGCUUCUAAUAGUCCAUUCACUUGGACAAUAAAAUAAUUAUUUUAUGAUCUGAUCUCAAAUCAGGUAGGACUACCCGCUGAACUUAA